UUUUUUAAUAUUAAUUGAAUUUAAUAUGAAUAUAAUUAUUUUAAUUACUGCAGCAAGUUAAACACUCAUCAGCAAUUUGACCGCCAAGAUUAUUUGGGGUCAUUAGCGGCCCCUGAAGGACACUAAUGGGGCCAGGAUUCCUGCCUCGCCCCUCAGAAAAAAUUAAUUAAUUAAUAAAUCAUAGAUUAGGAAAAAUACAAAAAUAAAUACAUUAAUUAAUACUAUGCAAGAGUUACAUAGAAAUUAAUAUGGAAAAAGAAACCAACAAUAGAAAAAAGCAAGGUUGGACAUACAAAGAUACAUUAAACUAUAAAUUAGAAAGAAUAAUAUAGAAAACAAAAACCUCCAAAGAAAUUGAAUGCAUCUUUGCUUUUAUUUUAAAUAAAUAUAAUAAUUAAUCUGUGGGCUCACUACUAGCAGGUGGUGCCACUGUGCUAUGCGAGUUGGGUAGGGGUCAUGUGCAGUGGCCCUGGUGGUCCGAUUCCUGGCUACUGAAACUUGUUCCUGGGACCUAGUUGCCUCUCUGGUGGGGAAGGAGUAGAUAUACCUCUGGAAUCUGUUUCCUGGCGAGCAGUUGUGUUCUAGUCUGGAGUUGCCCUCAGUGAGAGAUGGCACGCAGGGGUAAGUAUACUUGUAGAGGGUGUCUGGUUCAGUGGUCUUAGGAUCUAAUCUCUGCUUUUUUGCAGAUGAUGUGAUUCUAUCAGCUUCAUGAAGUGGUGUCCCCCAGCUCGCACUAGGGAGGUUUGCAGCCGUGGAAACAAGAAUUAGUGUUUUUCCAGAGUAGCUUUGCAUGAUUUACAGUUCAUAAUAAUCCUUCAUCUCAUACCAGGAUAGCCCUGCAGUUCAGCCUCAGUCUGACACAUAAGACAAAUAUUGGAUGUAUAAGAAAAAAAAAAAAAAAAAAAAAAAAAAAAAAAACAGGGCAAGUUUACAGUUUACAAAGUUAAUUUGAGGGAAAAAAGUUAAUUUCAAAUAGAUAAACAUGCCAUCUCUAACAGUAUUUUUAUUUAUGAGCUAAAAUAAGAAAGGCACAAUAGUAAAUAACCACGCUGCUGCCUCUGCUUCGGUUUCCAUUUGAUGUUUUUAUUAAUCAAAACGAGUGUUGACCACGUGUCCGCACACACAUAAACACAGAGCAGGCUCCAUCAUCACAGUAUUUCCAUUGAAAGCUGGAGCUUCCUGUCAGCAGGUCCACUCAGCGUGGAAGUGGGGACGGCGGCCGGGCCAACCGUUAGUACAAACACAGAACAAAAUAAAAAGCAGAGUUACAGAGGCAGAGUCUCCCCCGCAGGUACAGUGUUCAGUCUACAGUCUGUUAGCGAGGCAGCUUCAACAAUGCCAUGAACAACGCCAUCGUGCCUAAACAACAGCAUCUUCACGGCCACUACAAGCAGCAGAGCCAGCAAAUUCAUCCUACGAGGAAGAGGAGAGGGUCACCUGACACAAACUUUCAACACCUGUCAUAAACCACCAGGCAAUCACAAGCAGCCUGUCCCGACUGAAAACAGAUCUGGCUCAGGAUUCACGCUGGAAUCAUUUUCCACCUGCUGAUCGCUUCAGUUUCACCUCAGACGGAAAACAAAAACAAAAACAAAAAAAGGUUCUGCAGAAUGAUUAGCACAUAAACAGGUGAUCAGGGGUUUGAGAGCAUCAAUAAGUUUCACACAGAUCAUUUGAAAUCAUCGUUACCUGCCAGGCACUUUUAUUUUGGCAGUGGAAAUGAAAAUAGAAGAGUGAAGGUUAAAGUCUGUAAAAUUCAGAUUUGACUGAAUGAACGAUAAGGAUUUAUAAUCAGAAUAGUCAAAAAUUACAGCAAAUGAUUCGAUUUGAAGCAUCAUUAGUGAGAAAAUAAAGCAAACUCGUUCUGUGAUUCCCAUUGAUCGGCCCACCCAAACUCUGAUAAUCACACAAACCAAAGAUGGGAGUUUCUCCUUCUUUAUUUUGAUUCUCCGCCAACAGCUUUACCUCCGACACCUGCUUCAUAUAAGAUGACUUCAGGCUCAAAAGAGAAUCGGGUUAGAAAAUGAAAAUUAACUUUUACAUUUAUUGAUUUUGCGGCACACCUGCAGUACUUUCUCAGCCCACCAGGGGGCUGCAGACGGGACACCGUAACAGCGCAUUGCACGACCAGUCAGUUUAUAUGCUGAUCUCUGGUUUUACCAGUUCAAGAACGAUGGUUGUUUUUUGGUAAUUUAUCACAGACAGAUGAAAAAUAAGCCUCACUCUAUGAAUAAAUAACUUUUUUGUGCUACAUGGCAGGACUUAAAACUGUUGGUUGGACGGACACCAGGCAUUUUCCCAGCCUGACGCUGAGGUCACGUGAUCAUCUUUCGGGGUAUUGGUUCUGAAUUUGGCACCACCUGUGGUCACACAUGGCAAGUGCUUCAGCCCACAAGGUCCACUUACGCACACCACCUGAGCUUCGAGCCACGCCUACGUCAGCAGGUGAAGUCGCGCUCCACACCCUAAAAACGACCACUAUGGAGGUCAGCCGUUAUUGGUGGAGGUCGGGCGUAGGUGGUGGCGCUUUGCAGGCGGACAGCUGAAAUGUUAAGCACCUCAUUGUGGUAGUGUUUUUGUGUUGUUCAAACGUCCACAGAGCGCCGCCACUGUUAUAACAAAAAAAAAAAAGAAAAAAAAAAGAAAACUUAAUUUUAAAGAUUUUGUGUGUAUGAGCUGAACCUUCAUUCACACAACUAUCAUACCCGAGAUCAGCAGACUGUUACACGUACGUGACCUUUGACCUUCUUUUUAAAUUAGACGAGCUAACAUAUGCUAACAUUUACAUAAGAAAAACAAAGACGAAAAAUGGAAGAAAAAGUGUUACCAGUUUAUUAUUUCAGACGUUAGCAUGACUGAUAGCUAAUCAAUGAACUCUACAAGCUGUUAGCAGCUAGCUGCUGUAAGCAUUGGUGUUAUAUCGCCACACAGCUCACUAGCUUUACUAGCACCUAGCCAACACCAGGUUUAAGGAGGGUGAAGAAACGGCCUAGUAAUUUCUGGAUAACAUCCCCAGCUCGACCGAUUAGCCAGCAGGAAACUGUGGUUGGUAGUAGGAUAACCACCAACAGGCUGAUUUACUGUAAUAAACAAGCUGUUAGCUUAUGGGUUUGCUAACACAGGUGGGGUUGCUAAGUUUGUUGUAGCAUUCAUUAGCAGCCUGGUGGUGGAUCAAAUUUAAAAAAACAAACAAAAAAAAAACCGUGCAACGAUGGCAAGCUGAUCCCAAAGCUAAUUAGCAGCAUGUUGGUAAGCUAAUUGGGCUUUUGCAAUGCUAACUCACUGACUGUUGGUAACGGUUAGUCUAGCUAGCAGGUUACAUUGUGUUAGCUAGAUGAUGACAUAUUGGAUUAGCCAACUGUUUAUAAGCUCUUUAAGGAAUGAGGAAGACUUCUGGUUGGUCAAAAGAUUUUAAAGUCAUCCUGACUGUUGGCGUCGUGUCAGCAGGUGUUUUCACCCAGACUGUGACAACGCAAGGCAGCAGGAUCACGGCAGCUCAAACAGGAUGAUGGGCUAAGCCCCUCCAGGGACCGAUUUAGAGUGUUCUCAUUGGCUGUUUAACACUCUGGUUACCUGGAGACUGUUUGACCUGACUGAUGUUUCGGCUGCUGGAAGGCUAAAGACUGCUGGAAGCUCAACACAGACUGCCUCAAGCGGGCUCGCUGAGGAUGGCGGCGAACAGGAUGUUGGUCCUGCAGGUUCGAGUGUUCAGGUGUUGUGAAGGAAUGAUGCAGCAAGUUUUAGUAAAUCUCUUUCAAAAACAAAAAUCCUUUGAAUCUAACUCGGCGCUGUUCAUACACAUAAUCAUCAUCAUCAUCAUCAUCAUCAUCAUCAUCAUCAUCAGGUGUCCAUGUUGGAGGUCUUGAUUAGUUUCCCGUUGCUGCUUCCACUGGUUCCAUUCAGGCCUCAUUGCCUCAGAGUGGACGAGAAGAAGAAUGAGGAGGAGGAGGAAGGGGAGAGGGAGGGGGGGAUGAAGGGGGUGAGCUGUUGAGGUCAGGGCUGCAGUCAGACUUCACUCCUUCCUGAGCUUCCUGCUCCUCGGAGAUCUCCGCAGAACAUCGUCCUCAAGCUUCU
ensembl:lncRNA